UACGGAGGGUGCAAGCGUUAUCCGGAUUCACUGGGUUUAAAGGGUGCGUAGGUGGGCAGGUAAGUCAGUGGUGAAAUCCCCGAGCUUAACUUGGGAACUGCCAUUGAUACUAUUUGUCUUGAAUACUGUGGAGGUUAGCGGAAUAUGUCAUGUAGCGGUGAAAUGCUUAGAUAUGACAUAGAACAUCAAUUGCGAAGGCAGCUGGCUACACAAUGAUUGACGCUGAGGCACGAAAGCGUGGGGAGCAAACAGG
rnacentral:rRNA from 1 species